rnacentral:rRNA from 1 species
GGGAGGACCACCUCCCAAGGCUAAAUACUACCUGAUGACCGAUAGUGAAGCAGUACCGUGAGGGAAAGGUGAAAAGAACCCCGGGAGGGGAGUGAAAUAGAACCUGAAACCGUGUGCCUACAACCGCUCAGAGCCCCUUAUGAGGGUGAUGAGGUGCUUUUUGUAGAACGAGCCAACGAGUUACGGUAUGUAGCAAGGUUAAGUACUUAAGGUACGGAGCCGAAGGGAAACCGAGUCUGAAUAGGGCGACUAGUUGCAUGCCGUAGACCCGAAACCGGGUGACCUAUCCAUGGCCAGGUUGAAGCGAGGGUAAAACCUCGUGGAGGACCGAACCACGUUGCUGUUGAAAAAGCAUGGGAUGAGCUGUGGAUAGCGGAGAAAUUCCAAUCGAACCCGGAGAUAGCUGGUUCUCUCCGAAAUAGCUUUAGGGCUAGCGUCGAGUAUGAGUAGUGGAGGUAGAGCACUGAAUGGGCUAGGGGGCAUAGCGCUUACCGAACCUUAUCAAACUCCGAAUGCCACAUACUUUGAGCUCGGCAGUCAGACUACGAAUGAUAAGAUCCGUGGUCAAAAGGGAAACAGCCCAGAUCGUCAGCUAAGGUCCCAAAGUGUAAGUUAAGUGGGAAAGGAUGUGAGAUUUCUAAGACAACUAGGAUGUUGGCUUAGAAGCAGCCAUUCAUUAAAAGAGUGCGUAAUAGCUCACUAGUCGAGAGAUCUUGCGCCGAAAAUGUAACGGGGCUAAACUUACCACCGAAGCUACGGGCUUGAACUUAGUUCAAGCGGUAGGAGAGCGUCGUAACCGGGCUGAAGUCGUACCGUAAGGAGCGGUGGACUGGUUACGAGUGAGAAUGUUGGCAUCAGUAGCGAGAUGUGGGUGAGAAUCCCACAGGCCGAAAACCUAAGGUUUCCUCAGGAAGGUUCGUCCGCUGAGGGUUAGUCGGGACCUAAGCCGAGGCCGAAAGGCGUAGGUGAUGGACAACUGGUUGAUAUUCCAGUACCACUACCAUCGUUAUUAUCGAUGGCGUGACGCAGGAGGAUAGUGUGUGCUAGCUAUUGGAUGCUAGUCUAAGCGUUUAGGCAGUGAGAGUAGGCAAAUCCGCUCUCAUAAUGCUGAGGCGUGAUGGGGAAGGUUCUACGGAACCGAAGUACAUGAUUCCACGCUGCCAAGAAAAGCGUCUAGAGAGAGAAGUAGUGCCCGUACCGCAAACCGACACAGGUAGGUGAGGAGAGAAUCCUAAGGCCGGCGGAAGAAUUACAGUUAAGGAACUCGGCAAAUUGACCCCGUAAGUUCGCGAGAAGGGGUGCCUACGAGAGUAGGCCGCAGAGAAUAGGCCCAAGCAACUGUUUAGCAAAAACACAGGUCUCUGCUAAAGCGUAAGCUGAUGUAUAGGGGCUGACGCCUGCCCGGUGCUGGAAGGUUAAGGGGAACACUUAGCGCAAGCGAAGGUGUGAACUUAAGCCCCAGUAAACGGCGGCCGUAACUAUAACGGUCCUAAGGUAGCGAAAUUCCUUGUCAGGUAAGUUCUGACCCGCACGAAUGGCGUAAUGACUUGGGCACUGUCUCAACUGUAAAUCCGGCGAAGUUGUAGUGCGAGUGAAGAUGCUCGCUACCCGCGAUUGGACGGAAAGACCCCGUAGAGCUUUACUGUAGCUUAGCAUUGAGUUUUGGUAUUGUCUGUACAGGAUAGGUGGGAGACUAGGAAACCAGGGCGUCAGCCUUGGUGGAGUCAACCUUGGGAUACCACCCUGACAGUACUGAAAUUCUAACUGGCGGCCAUGAAUCUGGUCACAGGACAUUGUUAGGUGGGCAGUUUGACUGGGGCGGUCGCCUCCUAAAAAGUAACGGAGGCGCCCAAAGGUUCCCUCAGAACGGUCGGAAAUCGUUCGAAGAGUGCAAAGGCAGAAGGGAGCCUGACUGCGACACCCACAAGUGGAGCAGGGACGAAAGUCGGGCUUAGUGAUCCGGUGGUACCUCGUGGGAGGGCCAUCGCUCAACGGAUAAAAGCUACCUCGGGGAUAACAGGCUGAUCUCCCCCAAGAGUCCACAUCGACGGGGAGGUUUGGCACCUCGAUGUCGGCUCGUCGCAUCCUGGGGCUGAAGUAGGUCCCAAGGGUUGGGCUGUUCGCCCAUUAAAGCGGCACGCGAGCUGGGUUCAGAACGUCGUGAGACAGUUCGGUCCCUAUCCGUCGCGGGCGUAGGAAAUUUGAGAGGAGCUGUCCUUAGUACGAGAGGACCGGGAUGGACUGACCUCUGGUGUACCAGUUGUUCCGCCAGGAGCACAGCUGGGUAGCUAAGUCGGGAAUGGAUAAACGCUGAAAGCAUCUAAGCGUGAAGCCAACCUCAAGAUGAGAUUUCCCAUAGCGUAAGCUAGUAAGAUCCCUUGAAGAACACAAGGUUGAUAGGUCGGGGGUGUAAGCAUGGUAACAUGUUCAGCUGACCGAUACUAAUAGAUCGAGGGCUUGACCAA